rnacentral:tRNA from 1 species
GGGUCUAUAGCAUAAUCGGUUAAUGCGCUCGACUCAUAAUCGAAGGAAGCAGCGGUUCGAAUCCGCGUAGACCCACCA